rnacentral:rRNA from 1 species
GCGCACGGGUGAGUAACACGUGACUAACCUACCCUUGAGUGGGGGAUAACCUAGGGAAACCUGGGCUAAUACCGCAUAAUACCUUCGGGUCAAAGGAGCAAUUCGCUUUAGGAGGGGGUCGCGGCCGAUUAGUUAGUCGGCGGGGUAAUGGCCCACCAAGACUGUGAUCGGUAUCCGGCCUGAGAGGGCGCACGGACACACUGGAACUGAAACACGGUCCAGACUCCUACGGGAGGCAGCAGUGGGGAAUUUUGCGCAAUGGGGGAAACCCUGACGCAGCAACGCCGCGUGGAGGAUGAAGCCCCUUGGGGCGUAAACUCCUUUCGAUCGGGACGAUAAUGACGGUACCGAGAGAAGAAGCCCCGGCUAACUUCGUGCCAGCAGCCGCGGUAAUACGAGGGGGGCGAGCGUUGUUCGGAAUUAUUGGGCGUAAAGGGUGCGUAGGCGGUUCAGUAAGUCUUGUGUGAAAUCUUCGGGCUUCAACUCGAAGUCUGCAUGAGAAACUGCUGGGCUUGAGUGUGGGAGAGGUGAGUGGAAUUCCCGGUGUAG